GGUUCCUUCAAACUAUGUGACCCCAGCCUGACCUCUGUAACAGCUGCUAAUAUUAGCACAGACAUGCUUCCCAGUCUGUCUAAGGAGGACUUGCGUGACCUCUUUCCGGGGCCUGAGCACUUUUUCCGAAGGAGAGCCAUUUGGAGGACCACACAUGGUGAAAAUGAGGUGAUAUCAGAUUUUAACAUUGUGUCGAUAUUUAACCAUGCUGCGAUUUACAAUGUCUGUGAAACUGUCAUGGUCUGUGUCUUUCAUUCCCUGUUGAUUUUCCUGUUUUCAGUGUCUAGUCUUCCUCUAGUCUUCCUUUUUGUUCCCCGCUACCUGUUUGGUUGUAUCUGCAUUUUGGUCCAAUCCUGCACCUCCUCUAGAACUUAUGAUGCCGCCACAAUUCCCACUACCCCAACCCGUUUGUCAACCCCUUCUUCCUCCCCUGCAACUAUCCCCUCCUCAAAGCCAGGAGACAGUGCCAGCAGAACUGCACAGCUUCUAAGUCCACAAUAUAUUGUAUACACUGUUACGGCUGUAUGUUUCCCUGUGCCCUGUGUCCCUUCUCCCCUUCUGUUGUCUCCAGCCCAGGUGGAGCUACUAAUUGCACAACGAGGUACACCUGGCCUCAGUGCUUAAAAGGCCAGUGCUGGCUGCAGAAGAGGAGGCAUUUUGAGUUGGGACUGCGUAGCUGCUCAGUCAGGGAUUGGCUGUUGUCUUUUGUUUCUCUUUUGAUCUUUGUUAUCAUUUAGUGUGUCAUUUUGUAAUAAAUCACUUUGUUUUGACUUUUGCUAAGGUGGUUAGUGUCUUUUAAUGGGUCAAUGUACGGUUUGCUGUUAGCCCCAUAGGGCCGCCUUUAUGGUGGGGCGUAACAACACAGACACAGAGCUGGAGCAGUGAAGAACCACCUUUUUUGAAAAACAGCGUGCUGGACAAGAAGGAGACUUUACCCUCUCCAAAGAGCUUCGCUGUCGCUUAAUAAGGAAUACAGUAACAAGCAUGAUUGCCAUCAAGAGAGCUGCAGGGGAUGACGUCCAGUAUCCAUGCAGCCGUGAGCUAACUGUGAUGGCUAAGCGUCUCAUUGACUACUCCCAAAGCUGCGGGAUAGAUCUGCAGCUAGUGGAGCUGAGUGGGAAUCUGUGAAGAAGCAGCUUUUGAAAAGGGUCCAAAAUGUGACAACCCCCAAAAAGAAGCAGGGAGCAACUCCUUCAAGAAAGAGGCGACUGGCUCAGCUCUGAGAGCAGCAACCAGGAGUCAUCCACUGAUGACACCGGGUCCAAUGCUUCAACUUUGAUCUUGGAAAGAUCACCGCAGUCUGGAGGCAGUUCCCUAGAGGCUGAACAGGUGGAUGAGCCUGAAACUACUGACAGAACCAGGCAAGACACUACAAAGUUCUGCAGGAGCUAUACAAAUCCAGGGCCAGACCCAAGAAGAAGGAUGUUGCCCAGCUGUUGGACCUUGAAUACCAAGCAAGACGGGCUUACAUUGACUCUGAUGUUAUGAAGGAGCAAGACAGACCUACCAAGAUUCUUCAAGCAUAUCCCUGCUUCAGAGAAGUGGAUCAGAAAAUCAAAUCAUUUUAAGUUGACUUAUGUUUAAUAUUAAUAGGUUAAUCUGCAAUUUAUACUUGCAUAGUAGGUCCAGAAAUGUUGUAUUCACUAGAUUUUGAUUGGAAUGUAAAUUUUAAAAGAUACUUUCUAUCUGUCCUUCUGUGGUAGAUAAUGGAUGAACUGCAGCAGAUCCUCAAUCAAGGAAACUCCCACUUCAUACCUGAACUGAAGAACCGCUGGGGGACCUUUUUGUGAGAAGAUCCAGUUUUAUGGAGUUUUCAAAAAAGUCAUGAGACCUCCACUGGCAGAUAAAGUAAAGCAAGCGGUUGCAAUGAAGGCUUUGCCAGACAUCUUCCAUCACCUGUUGCUCCACCUAAGAAGUUGGGGCAUGCAAGUGAGGCUAUGCUUCACAUCCUUGAGUCUGUGGAAGACCCCAACACCUUCCUUCAGACAAGACCACUCUUCAGCCCUGUGGUGGUUGUCUGUGAGAGCAACUGCAUUCUGGCCAUCGGAACCACGCCUGUGCUGAUCUUCCCAAAGGAGGACCUCCCUGACAGUAUGAUAUGGCUGGCAAUGAAGUGAUAAUGGAGAGAUCUGUGAGGAGAAGACGGGUCCGUCCUCAACAGGAUGCCGAACAACACAUUCAACUGAAAACUGACAAGGCUGGUCUCGCAGAGCAUUUUAUCAACCCAUACAAAAAAAUGGCACCUGAUGUCAGUGAGCUGCUGACACCUGAUGUCAGCGAGCAGCUGAUACCUGAUGUCAGGGAGCAGCUGAUACCUGAUGUCAGGGACAGACCUCAGCAGCAAUUGGCACCUGAUGUUAGCCAGCCGAUUGUCGAAGAAAGCAACAGACCUCAGGUAGGGGCCAGUUUAUAAAAUACUACUUAAAGACCUGUUGAGCAAGAAUUUCUUUAUUGAAAUAGCAGAAAAUUCUCCAAAAAUGGUCCUACUCAUUCAUUCCUGUGUGACAGUGUGUGUGUCCACAGAGAGCCUGCCUUCCGCCUGUAAUUUCUUAUUUGUUAGUGUUGGGGGUGUAUGCCUGCCACCUAAACCACUGCUGAAUCCUUUUAUAUUAGUAUGUAUUAUUGUCCAGUGUUUCUCUUAUGACAGCCCAAGUAGUAAUGUACUGUAAGGACAAUGAUCUGUGUUUGGAACUUCUCCUAAAGUACUGACAGACUUACAUACUGGUGUUUUGACAUUAUACAUAGAUGAAUGUCCCCAAUUAGGUAUGGAGUAGCGUGUGUGUGUGUUUAGAACGACCUCAAAAGUGUGUGUGUGUGUGUGUGUGUGUGUGUGUGUGUGU